UACGGAGGGUGCAAGCGUUAUCCGGAUUCACUGGGUUUAAAGGGUGCGUAGGUGGGCAGGUAAGUCAGUGGUGAAAUCUCCGGGCUUAACCCGGAAACCGCCGUUGAUACUAUUUGUCUUGAAUAUUGUGGAGGUAAGCGGAAUAUGUCAUGUAGCGGUGAAAUGCUUAGAUAUGACAUAGAACACCAAUUGCGAAGGCAGCUUACUACACAACGAUUGACGCUGAGGCACGAAAGCGUGGGGAUCAAACAGG
rnacentral:rRNA from 1 species